ensembl:processed_transcript Gm28577 predicted gene 28577
CAGGGCCCUAAGCUGAAAACGAGGGAUUGCCCACUUCUGAGUGGCUGGGUGACAUUCAGUGGUGACAUUGCGAUGAUGGGGCCAGUGUGGCUGUGGCUGUGGCUGCUGGUAGCCGAGGUCCUGCUUCCUGUCCAUUGUCAGCCAUUUUCUGCCCAUGGAGAUAAGAGUCUGGGGGCAUCUCAACCAGCCAGUCACCAGUCCCUGGAGCCAGCACCCGCCUAUCACAAGGUCACACCCACCAUUACGAAUUUUGCUUUGCGUCUAUACAAGCAACUAGCAGAGGAAGUAGCGGGAAACAUCCUUUUCUCCCCCGUGAGCCUCUCCAGCAGCCUGGCUCUGCUGUCUCUUGGGGCACAUGCUGACACCCAGACUCAAAUUCUGGAGAGCCUGGGCUUCAACCUCACAGAGACCCCAGCAGCUGACGUCCACCGGGGUUUCCAGAGCCUCCUGCACACUCUUGACCUCCCCAGCCCCAAACUGGAACUGAAACUGGGACAUUCCCUGUUCCUAGACAGACAGCUGAAGCCUCAGCAACGUUUUCUGGACAGUGCCAAGGAACUGUAUGGAGCUCUGGCCUUUUCUGCCAACUUCACAGAAGCAGCUGCCACAGGGCAGCAGAUCAAUGACCUAGUGAGGAAGCAGACCUACGGGCAGGUGGUGGGCUGUCUCCCGGAGUUCAGCCAUGACACUCUCAUGGUUCUCUUGAACUACAUCUUCUUCAAAGCCAAGUGGAAGCAUCCC